rnacentral:rRNA from 1 species
CACGAAACUAUGUGAGCUAAUUUUGGUGAACCGUCAUGUCACAUAAUGACGAGAUGAAAGAAAAUUAGGGGUGAUAGGCUUUACAAACAUAGUGAUAUCUUGAUUUUCUUAAAAUGUAUAAGUACACUCACAUAUUUAAAGCUACAAGGUUUUAAAUCGUAAUUAAAUUUGAUUUAUAAUUGGUAAGAUAUAAAAAUCUAUACACUUAUUUACAUAAUAUACAAAUCAUAGUGAUUGUUUAUUUUAGAGAAAUGUAUAAUAAUUUCAAUAAUAUUAAUAAUGUCACUAUAAGUAUUUAGGAGGUGUUAAUAGUGAACUCGGCAAUAAGUUUUCAACUGUUUACCAAAAACAUAGCUGCGUGUAAGUACACGCAGUAUUUUCUGCUCAAUGAAUAUUAAAUAGCCGCAGUACCUUGACUGUGCAAAGGUAGCGUAAUCAUUUGUCUUUUAAUUGGAGUCAUGUAUGAACGAAUAUAUGGGGGACUUUCUUUACCAUUAACAACAAGGGAAAUUGCUUAAUGAGUGAAAAUUCUCAUAACUAAACAAUAGACGAGAAGACCCUAGAAAUUUAUGUUAACUUUUUGUUGGGGCAACAUAGUAACAAUUAACUUACUAUAUGUAUAUGAAAUUGAUUUGAUAAAUUAAAUUACUCUAGGGAUAACAGCAUAAUAUUGAAAUGUUUGUGACCUCGAUGUUGGAUUAGGGAGUUAUAGUUUAGAA